rnacentral:tRNA from 1 species
ACCUGUCUGGCUCAAUGAGUAGAGCAUAUGACUCUUGAUCUUAGGAUCUGUGCUCAAGCCACACGUUGGGUG